CCUUUGCCCAUCCAUCUUCAGGACACAGGACACGCCUGCAGCUGAGGAGGAGAGAGAAAUUGAGUUGACAGAGCAGUCAGAGAGCCUCUCUUUUCUUCUGCAUACUUUUCCUUUUAUCUUUCUCUCUUCAGUUUCAGAGCUUCUUGUUCUCACCUUCAUGCUGUGGUAGUGCUGACAAAGAAAACUGCAGCCCUGCAAGCUGGUGGUGAGUAAUGGCCCCAGGCCCUGAAUACCUAAUGCCUAUUGUAUGUGUGUGGGGGAGGGAGACCCACAGGGAGGGGAAGAAUUUGGUCAGAUUGCCUGGGUAGGAACAGAACCUUGUGGUGAGGACCCUGGAUGCAUCCAGAGAGUAUCUAGAGUUUUGAUACCUGUCCCUUAAUUAAAUCCAAGGAUCUAAUAGGCAUGGCCUUUCGGAAUGCUUUGUUCAAACAGAUUUGAUUCCUGCCCAGGGGCUUUUUAAGCCACUGACCACUUUGAACCUAAUUAGAAAAAGCAGAGGACACUGGAGACAUUUAAUAAAAGGCAUCAAGUUGCUGCUUCAUCUUCAUGACCUGGGAUUUAUAAGGGAAUUUCACUGGCUUUGUAGCAAUGUAAAAUAAAUAGACAUUAGAUGAUGACAGGGAAAGCAAAAUUGCUGCCAAAGCUAAAAAGAGCUUGGCAAAAGAAGAAAGGACUACUACAUAGUCAGUCAUUAUUUACUGUACAAACCUUUUCAUAAAGCAUAGGAGAGAGAUACAUAGGAAUAAUGGGCCCCUGCGAAAAGAUGAAAAGAGCUUUCUAUAGCUCACAUCAUCCCCUGACUGACGAAGGCACUGACAUGUCCCCUUGUUACACAAUCUUAUUGUUCUAUUCAGCCAUUCAGAAAGCUGAAUGCGCAGCCCUGAUCUGGACUUUGAAAGGCUGAAAUACAGAGUCCACACAUUUCCAAAGAAAAGAAUAAAACUGUAACGGAUGGAAAUAACUAAUUAAUUUGUUAAUCCUUGCAGACUGCCACGGUCCACUGCAUAGUUUUAGCUGGUUAAUUAUUCUGUAGCCUGUAAGACUAACAUGUAAAUAAGUGCAGUUACCUAACCCCGACAGCUCCUGACAAAAGAAUCCAACUGUUCAUUGUUUAAUUUAAAGGGAGCAAGGCUUUGCUUUUUGUUGGUGGUGCCCGUAUUGAGAAGUUCAUGAACCAAUGUGACCUGACAGACUUCCAUUCCUUCACACUUCAGAGAAAUGGUUUGGUUCCCCAGUAUGUGGCCUUUUCUCCACCUCAAAAAGCUGAAACCAUGUGACUUCUCUAAGUAACACUGUGUCUACCCAAUCCAACAACAGGAAACAAUUUUUAGAUGUUAGUGACAGAAACUAUUUUUAUCAACUUUAAAGUGCUCCUACUGUGAAUUACUACAACUAUAACCCUGGUGUAGAUCAGAACAGAGAAGCACACUAGAAAGAUUUAAAGGGCCAAGGUACAUUAUUUAGUAAUGCAAUUAAUAGCCUAUUAUUCUACUAGAUUUCAUCUUAGCCACUAGAAUCCAUAAAUAGACUUAUAAAUAGAUUUAUAGGUAGGACUUUCAAAAAUGCAUAUAUGUAGAUAUAGGGGUGUGUGUGUGUGUGUAAGAGAUUGGUGGAAUAGGGAAGAAAGUGUUCCUACAACAUUUGAGAAAUAUGGAGAUAAAAGGCCCCAAAAUGUAUCCUGCAGAAUACACAAGGGACCAUUCUGGGGCCAAGGGUGUGGCUCAGUGGUACAGCCUGUGCUUAGCUUAGGCGAGGCCCUGGGUUUAAUCCCCAGCACCACUAAAAAAUGUUUUAAAGGGAACUGUUCUAACAAAGAAGAAAACAUGAUCCCAUAGGCUGUGCUGAGUGAUCCCAUAGGACUGUACUGAGUGAUGCCACAGGCUGUACUGAGUGCUCCCAUAGGCUACACUGAGUGUUCCCAUAGGCUGUACUAAUCUCUAUUUCAGUACUCAAAACAGACAAACCCCCGUCUAACUAGGUUGGUCAGAAAAUAGUGGGCUCUUUAUAAAACAGCAUGGAGUCACCUGACAACCACCAGAUAAAUGAGUAUCUGCCCUGCCUCUACUUCUUUAUGACAGUAGGGCUUCAUACAAGUCACUGUCCUCUCUAAGCCACCAUCCACUCCCACAAGAGGAAAAUUGGGGAACUGACACCUCCUGCCUCACAGUGCUGUUAUCUCCAAGAACAAAUAACCAUGAUAUAUCCGGAUCGUGUGCUCAAAGUCAUGAAGUCCCAUGAAAAUAUGGAAUUUAAUGUAUUCUAAUAGUCAUUGCCCAUCUAAGCAAUAGAUUCACCAUUUUUAAAGGACAUGAAAAAAUAUCAGAACAAUCUUUAAAUAUUAAGAAUUUUAGAAAGAAGCAUCAAUGCCUCUCCUCUACUGUGAAUGUGAGCAUCAAUUACAAAAAUAUUUAAAUGAAAUAUAUGACUUACUGAGAGCCAUAGCGGAGUCGGAAUGACGCCAACAGAGGUGAGGCAAAGAACCUCACCCCCCCCCACUGGUACAAAGGCCAAAUUUGGGGGCCAACAGAGGUGAGGCAAAGAACCUCAUCCCCCCACACACUGGUGCAAAGGCCUAUCCACAAGUAUGGCUGUAUGCUGAACCAGUAGUCAAUGACGGGUAUGAUCCAACAAUGGUACCAACCUAAGACAGGAGGCUGACGCCUUGAGGUCAGCUCAUCCUAUGACGGGUAAGGACCAUAUGUAGAAUUGGACAACCUAGAUAGGCAUGGUCCCUUAACUACAUGCUUGGUGUUUAAUUAAACAGAAGGGGGGAGAUGCUGAGAGCCAUAGCCAAGUCAGAAUGACGCUUGGCAUUUUUGCCAGAACAGAGUGGUUGAGAGGUGACUCCAGCAAGCCAUUGAGAUGAUGAUGGUUAUGUUAAGCUGUGUAUUCAAUUGUAUAUUAGACCCCUGCUAUCCACCUCAGGCACCGGCUACUUUGGAGUUCUCACAUUACUUUGGAAGUGGGGAUUCCUGGGGAGUUGUGUUGGUUGGGGAAGUGCCAGAGGAGGGAUUUCCAGUUGGUGUGUGGUGUGUCCUGGGGGAAGGCCGCGUGCAUGGCAUUCCUUUGUUCCUUCUUGAGUGGCUCGUGAUUUGUGCCCAGCCAGACUGCGGCAAUGACUGAAAUUUAAAUUUUGAUAAUAAUAAUAUAUGUGGUUAUUAGAAAUAUAACAGUAGUUAUCAUAUCCCACUAUGCCUUCCAACGUCCUCAUAGGUUGCACAAGAGUUCUGAUGCAUUGAUUAAAACCAUUAGUCGACUUAGAGGAUUCCUAAGAGACACUAAAUGAGCAGUAUGAAAGGGGACAAAGGGACAUGGGCUUGGGUAAGAUCCAGAGAGUCUGACAAUGGAAGAAGGAUGCUGCUUACUCAAGACACUUUAUAUAAGUCUAUAGUAAUGUCAUAAAAUAUUGCCAUCUGCACAUAUUAUAAUAGACAUAAACAUCUUUACUCUUUGGAUAUGACUGGAACCCCAUGAGCUAUGGUGCCCUUGUGCAGUGCAUACCUUCCCAAACAAGUAUGGUGACCUGAGAUGUUUUGCUUUACCCUUUAUAUCUUCAGUAUUUCUUAUUACAUUUUCUUCAGGAUUUGUAAACUAUCAUUUGAAAUUUGUAAGACAUCAAAUAGAGAACAUUAAAAAUGUAUCUCUAGGCCCCCAAGUGAAUUUCAAUAUUAAUAAGAAGCCUAAAUCCCAUGCAGAUAUAUGAAUGCCUGAAUUUAAACAGAGUCUCAGAAGCUGUGAUUUCUGCCUUGUUUUUCUAAAUAGUUACUGGGUGACUUUGUUCCCAUCACUCAAUGCCGUAGUCCGGCUGCAGCAAAAUAACCAGGGGGUGACGAACAACUUGUGUACAUUGAUACAGCAGGAGUAGGAGCUGUUUACUGUAGGACAGGAGGGGUAUUUAUACAUUCCACACAGCUUAUCUAAUUAACAUAAACUAGAUACAGCAGUCAACCAAUAAGGAAUCUCCACACUUAAUGGCUCGCUGGUGUUACUUCACAAACCACUCCCUCUGGUGUUUUGCCAGGCGCCAUCCAGACUUGUUUACAGACUCUAACAUUUCCCCCUUUUGUUUAAUUUAAAUAAGGACCAUAGUGGUUUUUACACAAACACCAUAAAUAAUCUGCUCCAAGCAGAAGGGGAGGAUACAAAAUGCCACAAUACCAAGCCAAUUGAUGGCUCCAUGCAAGAAGCCCUUGGAAAAAUUAUACCAGCAAUGACACAGUUAGCAAAGGUACUGAGUUACAAUUUGUUGUAGAUUACAGUUUGUUGUCUCAGUCCAGGUAAAGCAGUGUCUCAAUAGAUUAACUCACAGUCCAGGUAAGUUCUGCAGGCAGCUAGCUUAAAUCACAGUCCAGGUAAGUUCUGCAGGCAGCUAGCUUAAAUCACAGUCCAGGUAAGUUCUGCAGGCAGUUAGCUUGAUCCGAAGUCUCAUCCAUAUCUCAGCUGAAGUCUCGUCCAGUUUUCAAAUCCAGGCACAGGGAGCAAGAGCCUGCGAGACUGUGCCUGGAUUUGGGCUCUCGCAGUGGCAUCCUGCUCCCUGGGCGGGGGCGGGGAAGAGCCCGUUGUUGCCCUUGGAAAGUCCUUGUUGCGCCAUGACUGGCUCGCAUAUGUGGCAGCCUCCACGGCUUUAUGCACCCUCUGGCAACGAAAAGUAUUUAGUAAUAGCCUUUUGCUGCAACUUUUUUCCUGAUAAUCCUUCUUCUUCUGAAUUUUCUUUUUCUUUCUGACUAGAGUUCCUGGGCUUCCAUCAACACAUGCCCUAACUAUUCUUGGUUCCACUGGGGUGCCUUCUUCCCUUAUCAAUUUACUUAAUACCCCUUCCAUUUUUUCAUCACAAAGACAAUACAUUUCAAGACAAAACAAGACACAAACAUACUGUAUCAAUCUUCUCCAUUUUCUCAAAAUGGCCAUUUUUCCUUUCGCCCUAUCUGCCUAGGGACGAGCAGAUUUGUUACCGUCCUAUCUUAUUAGAGUCUGUAAACAAGUCAAAAUAACACCUGGCAUUUAGCCAGGGGAAUGUUAGAGUUCGUAAACAAGUCUGGAUGGUGCCUGGCAAAAUGCCAGAGGGAGUGGUUUGAGAAGUAACAAAAGCAAGCCAUUAAGUGUGGAGAUUCCUGAUUGGUUGACUGCUGUAUCUAGUUUAUGCUAAUUAGAUAAGCUGUGUGGAAUGUAUAAAUACUGCUCCUGUCCUGCAAUAAACGGCUCCCUCUCCUGCUGUAUCAACGUGCACAAGUUAUUCGUCACCACCCCCACCCCCACCCCCACCCCUGCUAUUUUGCUGCAGCCGGCUGCGGCAGAUGGUGGCCCGUAUACGGGGAGCCCCGGGACACUCGGGGGUAAGUGACAGAAAAAAAAAAAAAAGCUGCCUGUCCAUAGAUAGGACGGGAGCAAAUCUGCUCGUCCCUAGGCAGAUAGGAUGAGAGGAAAAAUGGCCAUUUCGAGAAAAUGGAGAAGAUUGAUACAGUAUGUUUGUGUCUUGUUUUGUCUUGGUGUAUUGUAUUGUCUUUGUGAUGAAAAUAUGGAAGGGGUGAGAAGUAAAUUACUAAGGGAAGAAGGCACCCCAGUGGAACCAAGAAUAGUUAGGGCAUGUGUUGAUGGAAGCCCGGGAACUCUAGUCAGAAAAAAGAAAGUUCAGAGGAGGAAGGAUUAUCAGGAAAAAAGUUGCAGCAAAAGGCUAUUACUGAAUACUUUUCUUACCGAAGGGUAUGUAAAGCUGCGUGGUGGCUGCCACGUGCGCGAGCCAGUCAUGGUGCAGCAAGGAGUUUCCAAGCAGCGGCAGCCAGCUCUUCCCCACCCCCCCCACCCCCCCACCCCCGCCCUAGGAAUGGGACGCCACUGCGAGAGUCCAAAUCCAAACCUGACCCAGAGGCACAGUCUCGCAGGCUCUUGCUCCCUGUGCCCGGAAGCAGUUUGAGUCCAGGACACUCCCCGGGGCCAUCUGGGGCUGCCCGGGAGGCUGCAGGCGGAAGACAGCCCACGUCCCUGAAGUUUGAUCAUUUCCAAGGCCAGUAACUACAAUGGUUCUCCCACACCUGAAAGCUAAUGAGUAAUGAGCACUAUUAAGGCUUAUUUCAAAUGUAAAAAACCUUGAGAUAAUGUACUAAAUUGUUCAAAAGGUUGUUUUCUUAGUGGAAUACUACAGGAUUUUCUUUAACAUCAUUGCUGGAGUUCCUGCCUUCUUCCCAGUGCCGGUAAAGACAAAGGUGGAAGAAUUUCCAGUGUUGCUGAGAACAGGAUGAGACUUCGACUGAGAACCAGGGGAGACUUCAGAUCAAGCUAACUGCCUGCAGAACUUACCUGGACUGUGAUUUAAACUAGCUGCCUGCAGAACUUACCUGGACUGUGAUUUACCUGGACUGUGAGUUAAUCUAUUGAGACACUGCACUGCUUUACCUGGAUUGAGACAACAAACUGUAAUCUAUAACAAAUUUUAACUCGGUAUCUUUGCUAAUGGUGUCAUUGCUGGUAUAAUUUUUCCAAGGACUUCUUGCAUGGAGCCAUCAAUUGGCUUGGUAUUGUGGCAUUUUAUAUCCUCCCCUUCUGCUUGGAGCAGAUUAUUUAUGGUGUUUGUGCAAAAACCAUUAUGGUCCUUAUUUAAAUUAAACAAAAGGGGGAAAUGUUAGAGUCUAUAAACAAGUCAGGAUGGCGCCUGGCAUUUUGCCAGAGAAAUGUUAGGGUCUGUAAACAAGUCAAGAUGGUGCCUGGCAAAAUGCCAGAGGGAGUGGUUUGUGAAGUAACUCCAGCGAGCCAUUAAGUGUGGAGAUUCCUUAUUGGUUGACUGAUGUAUCUAGUUUAUGCUAAUUAAGAGAAGCUGUGUAAAAUUUAUAAAUACCUCUGUUGUCCUACAAUAAACGGCUUCCACUCCUGCUGUAUCAAUCUACACAAGUUGUUCGUCACUCCCUGGUUAUUUUGCUGCAGCCAUACUCUGGCAACUCAACCCCUUUGCUCCUUCAAACAGCA
rnacentral:lncRNA from 1 species